rnacentral:rRNA from 1 species
CCUACGGGUGGCUGCAGUGAGGAAUAUUGGUCAAUGGGCGGGAGCCUGACGCAGCCACGCCGCGUGAGGGAAGAAGGUCCAGCGUAUCGUAAACCUCUUUUGUCAGGGAACACAGGCGGUGACUAGUCCCCGGAUGAGGGUACCUGAAGAACAAGCAUCGGCUAACUCCGUGCCAGCAGCCGCGGUAAUACGGAGGAUGCGAGCGGUAUCCGGAUUUAUUGUGUUUAAGGGGAGCGCAGGCGGCCUGUUAAGUCAGCGGUAAAAGCCAGGGGCUCAACCCCGGCGAGCCGUUGAAAAUGGCGGGCUGGAGUUGGAGAGAAGUACGCGGAAUUCGCGGUGGUGCGGUGAAAUGCUGAGAUAACGCGCAGAACCACGAGUGCGAAGGCAGCGUACCGGCUCCACACUGACGCUGAGGCACGAAAGCGUGGGUAUCGAACAGGAUUAGAUACCCUAGUAGUC